rnacentral:lncRNA from 1 species
AAGAAAUACUGUUUAAGGUGUUUUUUGUUCCAGCGUUGCUAAUUUGUUUAUUUAGUACUUUUGACUUUCAGUAUGAGAAACUAUGCUACAGUAGCAAUGUGAAAAACAACAACAUGUGUAUACUGGAGUUGACACGGUGGGUCACAUCUGUAGCCAGACUUCUCCAGUACCCAGUGACCAGCAGCACAGAUUGAAGAAGAUGGUAUGGAAACACCUUCAAAAAUCAUCUGCAGAAAAUUAUUACCAGGAAUAAAGGACUAUAACAUCUAGGGAUGUUACACUGGCACAGGAUAUGCAGUCCCAAGCACUGUCUACAGUUGUGGAGAAGAACUGUGGCCUUGAAUAGGUUUCUUCUGCUGAAUGGGACAUGAAGAUGUUUCUUUUAGAAAUACUUUGUGUUUGGUUGUGGGUGUUCAGCUGAAUCUUGAAUUUAGUGGCCAGCAACUAAGACGUGAACUGAGAUGCAGCAGAUCUUCUGUUUCUCAGCAGACAUUAUGCCUUUCAGAAAUAUCGCUAUUCAUAUAA